AACGAACGCUGGCGGCAGGCUUAACACAUGCAAGUCGAACGCCCCGCAAGGGGAGUGGCAGACGGGUGAGUAACACGUGGGAACCUACCUUGUGGUACGGAACAACCAAGGGAAACUUUGGCUAAUACCGUAUGAGCCCGAGAGGGGAAAGAUUUAUCGCCAUAAGAUGGGCCCGCGUCGGAUUAGCUAGUUGGUGAGGUAAUGGCUCACCAAGGCGACGAUCCGUAGCUGGUCUGAGAGGAUGACCAGCCACACUGGGACUGAGACACGGCCCAGACUCCUACGGGAGGCAGCAGUGGGGAAUAUUGGACAAUGGGCGCAAGCCUGAUCCAGCCAUGCCGCGUGUGUGAUGAAGGCCUUAGGGUUGUAAAGCACUUUCGCCGAUGAAGAUAAUGACGGUAGUCGGAGAAGAAGCCCCGGCUAACUUCAUGCCAGCCGCCGCGGUAACAC
rnacentral:rRNA from 1 species